AAUUAUAUGCAAAUCGUUACUUUCCGUUUCUUCUUUUACUUUAGCACCUGAGUAUUGGGGCUUUCGUGCGUAAGAAAAUAAACGAAAAGUUACGCUAAAGCCUCCUAAUGGAGGCUUUUUUAUU
rfam:Providencia burhodogranariea DSM 19968 genomic scaffold scaffold00001, whole genome shotgun sequence.